GUAGAUUGUCGACCAAACAGUGAGAGCUAGGGCUGCAACCAAGUAUGUCCACAGGAAGAGGACCGAACACUCCUCUUGGCCCACAUCAAACAGCUGGGUCAUCGUACCUGAACAAUUACCAUUCCAUUCAUUCCAACUAGUGUGGCAGGGUAAACUGAACCAUGAGCACAAAGUGGAACAAACGGUCUGAUGGGAGGAAGCCAAGUUGUGAAGCACCUUUAACCACCCAGAUUCCAAUGGCAGGAAGUGCAAUGUACCGGACAAGGACCACCCCAACGAUGACCCAUGCUCUGAUUCUCGAUGACCGUAAGCCUGCAGUUCCAAUUUUUAAUUUGCAGAACAAAACUACUCGACUUUGCUGAUGAUGCCACAACUAUACCAAUUACUUGCUCUUGAUCUUGAUCUUCUUCUACUGCCUUGAGUAGAUGAGGUACGUAUCAGGUGGUAUGUGUAAGUCCAGAUGUAAAAGCCUCCAAGCUGCAGAAUUCAAAACAUAGUCAGUCCAUCAGAUGAAGGCAUCCAUGUGACAAAGUAGAGCUGAUUGGUCUUAAUUAUCCUUCCACACA